ACUCAAAGGAAUUGACGGGGGCCCGCACAAGCGGAGGAACAUGUGGUUUAAUUCGAUGAUACGCGAGGAACCUUACCCGGGCUUGAAAUGCAUCUGACGUAUUCGGAAACGGAUAUUCCCUACGGGGCAGAUGUGUAGGUGCUGCAUGGUUGUCGUCAGCUCGUGCCGUGAGGUGUCGGCUUAAGUGCCAUAACGAGCGCAACCCUCAUCGUCAGUUACCAUCAGGUAAAGCUGGGGACUCUGGCGAGACUGCCAUCGUAAGAUGCGAGGAAGGUGGGGAUGACGUCAAAUCAGCACGGCCCUUACGUCCGGGGCGACACACGUGUUACAAUGGGUGGUACAAAGGGCAGCUACCUGGCGACAGGAUGCUAAUCUCCAAAACCACUCUCAGUUCGGAUCGGAGUCUGCAACUCGACUCCGUGAAGCUGGAUUCGCUAGUAAUCGCGCAUCAGCCACGGCGCGGUGAAUACGUUCCCGGGCCUUGCACACACCGCCCGU
rnacentral:rRNA from 1 species